rnacentral:rRNA from 1 species
UUGUCCUACGGGGCGCAGCAGUGAGGAAUAUUGGUCAAUGGGCGCGAGCCUGAACCAGCCAAGUCGCGUGAGGGAAGACGGUCCUAUGGAUUGUAAACCUCUUUUGUCGGGGAGCAAAAGACGCCACGUGUGGCGUUCCGAGAGUACCCGAAGAAAAAGCAUCGGCUAACUCCGUGCCAGCAGCCGCGGUAAUACGGAGGAUGCGAGCGUUAUCCGGAUUUAUUGGGUGUAAAGGGCGUGUAGGCGGGAGCGCAAGUCAGAUGUGAAAACUCAGGGCUCAACCCUGAGCCUGCAUUUGAAACUGG